CAGGGAGACAACAAAAUGUUUAAUAUUAAUUUUGUCACCUUAGGUCGAUCGGUAUCUCACAUUCUUAUUUAAUUAAGGAUUUCAUUUCCUAAGUUUUUUCUAGGUCACACCCAUUACUUUUCCUGGGCCAUUAGCUCAGGUGGUUAGAGCGCACCCCUGAUAAGGGUGAGGUCCCUGGUUCAAGUCCAGGAUGGCCCAUAUCUCUAUGUUGGGGGUAUAGCUCAGUUGGUAGAGCGCCUGCUUUGCAAGCAGGAUGUCAGCGGUUCGAGUCCGCUUACCUCCACUGAUUACCACCUCUUUCAUAUCUAUAAAAGGGAAAUGUUUCGAGAUGUGAUCAAAUUCUGAACGAAUCUAGCUUCCUAAUGAAAUCAUUAAGAUGCUGGACUCAUUGAAUUUAUUUCAUUGUUUUCAGAGAACCUUGACAACUGCAUAGAUUAUUUUAAAGACAAUAAGCAUCUUUAAUGAUGCAGAUUUAUUAUUUGUGCGAAUGCAUUAAUAACAAUUCUAUUAAGCUGAUGCUUCAAUUUUUGAAGUUAUU
rnacentral:tRNA from 1 species